AGAAAAGAGAAAAAAAAAAGAAAGAAGAAAGAAUCAGAAACAGAGCGUGAGACUGAGAAAGAACAAAAAAGCGUUGUUACAUUGAUCCAUACUGGAGCAGGAGCUCAACUAAAUGAAAGACUGUAUAGAGGAACUAAAGGAGGCACAGAAAAGAGACGGAGAGGAGAAACAACAUGAAGCAAAUCCGAGCUGAUUGAGAGCGGAGCAGCAGGGGAGGACGGAGAAACAGAAGAAGCUGCUGGAGUGGAGGUGCUUGUGUCUGGUGUCAUAGUAACUCCAUUCAGUUCCUGACCCAGGCCUCUACUUAAGAGCCCCUCAACUAUUCCCCCAUCAGAUGCAGCAUAUGCACAGCGGACCUUGCGAUGUCCAGUUUGUACCCUGCCUCUCAUCCACUGUGAGCUGGGAUAGGCUCCGCCCCCCAGGACAUCCAACAGGACAACGUAGGUCCUGCCUGUUACCUCUGGUCACCAGUCUGCCUGCCCUGCCUUGUUCCCCAUCAGGCUACCUCAGUCCUCUGCAAAGCCAGCCAUGCCGCUACAGCCAGCCACAUCUUUCCUGAGCCAGACAUCUUGCUGAGUUUCUCUUCCCGACAACCAGCAGGCCUCUCCUCUUGCCACGACUCUCCCUCGACUGCCACUCACCACAGGAAAACUACAAGCCUUAUUCACCUUCACCUUGCCUUCAGUUAUAAAUAAAACAACUCUCUA